rnacentral:lncRNA from 1 species
GGAAUUUUUAAAGCUGUCCAUGUGAUUCCACUCUUCAGUCCCAGCUCAGAAUUCUGCUCCAAGAUCUCUGCAGACCUUGGGAAGAAAGGCUGAAGGAAGCCUUGCCCAGCAUUGUGCUCUGGGGGUCCAGUGACCGGGCAGCACGUCUGGGGGCUCACCUCCAUCCCCCCUCACCUAACAACACUCUGUGCCGGGGUGCCUGGCCCACAUCUACAAAUGGGUCCACAGAGCAUGCCCCAGGAAACAGCAGUUGCUUCAGCUUGGGUGCUGAGUGAAGAGUCCUGUGAAGCCAACUGGAAGUCUCUCUAUAGCCUGGAGCAGAACUGCAGCUCACCCAUCUGCCCUCAUGCACGUGACCAAGAGGUGAUGCUGAAGCUGCAGCUCUGGAGACCUCACUCGGAGAACCACCGCCCUACAGGAAGCAAAGCCCAGAGAAUUCUUCCUGCUCUGUACUGGCUGAUCAGUGGAAAGGCCUGAAGGUCCUUACACAGCUGUUGCCAAAGAAUGAUUUGUGAAGGCAUCAGGAGGAGGCAGUACUCACCAGAAGUGCUCUGAUGAUCUCUUCUUGGGACCUGGAAACUCUGGGAAGGUAGGAGAGUACCUCACUCAUGGGGCUGUGCCAGCAUCCCCAGGGUGCUUGCUAUUUUGGUAUGAGUUUUAUAGGGACCAUUUAUGAAGAUUUUUCUCUCUGACAUUUAGCCAUGCUGUUUUAUAGCCAUGAAAAAGGAAAGUGAUUUUAAUAAGUUAUGGGAAAAUUAUAGCACAGCGCUUUACAUUCACUCAACACACACUGCUGAAUGAAUUAAUACAUGAGAAUGCCCCUUCCCCACAAUACAGCCUAAGAAACAGAAUUUGAAAACUGUAAGAAACCUUAAAGAUCACCUGUCUUGGCAUCCCAUGGCACCCACACAUACCCAGUUUUACAG